rnacentral:rRNA from 1 species
GACGAACCGUCCAAACGUUAUUCGGAAUCACUGGGCUUACAGAGUUCGUAGGCGGUCUGGAAAGUUGGGUGUGAAAUCCCUCGGCCUAACCGAGGAACUGCGCUUGAAACUACCAGACUCGAGGGGGAUAGAGGAAAGCGGAACUGAUGGUGGAGCGGUGAAAUGCGUUGAUAUCAUCAGGAACACCGGUGGCGAAGGCGGCUUCUGGGUCGUUACCUGACGCUGAGGAACGAAAGCCAGGGG